GAAGCGGGAAGCCGGCACCGGCGCAUGGCCGGGUAAGACCGGCACCGCCGAUCCGCAAGAAUCGGCUACC
rnacentral:ncRNA from 1 species